rnacentral:piRNA from 1 species
UAACUUCGACAUAUGCGUGCGCAACCUGC